AUGCUGCUUCUUGAUACAAAAGUGUGUAAACUGAAUGCACACCAAAUUCUGAUUUUUAUCCUUAGGAAGAGAAGGAAGGAGAAACUCCCUCAGAAUUCUUGUUGGCGAGGGAUCUCGAGGGGACUCCAGAACCAACCAACCAGGGAACGUCUGGACUUUCAGGACUGGUCUGGGCUUAGAAUGGAGCUAUUCCCUCGACUUACCUUCUACCCUCCCCUUGGCAGUCUUGGACUAGAACUAUCUGGUGCUGACUUACAUUACUGGGCAUCCUGGUCUUGAUCUGCUCUCCUGGGAUGCCCUGGAAAUUAGUAGGAUUUUGGACGACAAAGGGCUAGAGAUGUUCCUCAACCUAGCAGUGCUGAUGGGCAAGAGCAUCCUGUCUCACUCCACCUGGACUACUGAUUUCCUGGAAUUCACUAUGUAAAACACAUGGAAGUCUGUCCUGGAAGAAGUCGGGUGGAGCACUGGGGUGGGAAGAAAAGACAUUCUUUAAGAUACUUUUCUUUUCACAAGAGAAUUAAUCUGCCCCAGAACCUGGAAAAUAUAUAGCUUCUAAUGGCUUGGCAAUCAGGCAAGCUUCUUUGUGGGCAAGGUUCAUGUCUACCUACUCUAUUAUAUUGUACUCUCCAAACCACAAAGUACAGUGCUCUGUACACAGUAAGUGCUCAAUAAAUACCACUGAUUCUUCGAUUGACUACUCAGAUCUUCUGUAAACUGGAAGUUGUAUUGUGUUCAUGCUUGGCCCAAGUGUACGUGCACAACGAUUUCUUCUGAUGCCACAAGUAUGUUCUAUCCAGAGGAAUGGGUGGUGUUGGGAGAAUUUGGAAAUUUGUUCCCUAGAUCCUUCAAAUGCAAUCUAUCCUAAACACAUAGUGAAGAUCAAAACUUCUUCGUUUCCUGGCUUUGCUCCCACAAAAUAAUCCUGCCCACAAUUUCAGAUUUUCAUUUUUAAUCUCUAUUGCAACAAAUUUCCCAUGUGGAAUGUUUUUAAAUGAUCUCAGACUACCUAUCCGUUGAAAAAUAUUGUACUUCAACAUGUUAAAGUAUUGCAUUUAAAAUUAUAUUUUAAGGGCUAUUUUCAAAUGUCAAUAAAGAUUCUCAAUGA